GAAUUAAAAGCCAAAGUCCGCUGCAUUUUCCAAAAGCCUCUGUGGCUGCCACAUUCCAAGCAAACGCCCACUUGAGUGCAAACUCCUCGAUGCCAUUCCGAAUCCAAAUCGAGAGUGGUUGAAUUUUCGAUAUUUCAAAUGCUUUAUUCUGUGGGCAGUGACACAAAAACGCAGGCGAGACAUACGAGUAUUUCAACACUCAAAUGCGUAACUUGCAACUUGCCAAAAAUGGCGACAAAAGCGUUGAGCUCAGACUUACAGAUACGCGUUCUCGCAUUCGCCAGAUACGUUUACACUUGCUUUGUGAACAAAUUUACGAUGACGACUCGCUGUUUUUUGUUCACUCAAUUUUUGUUGUUAAUUUAUUUUAUUUUUCAUCUUUUUUGCACUUACUCAAUUUUUGUCUGGGCUUUUUGGCACAUUUCUGGUGCUCAUAAAUUAAUAUGACGCUCACGUUGGCUUGGGAGACGUGUUCGACUGAAUGAGUACCCAUAUCUAUAGAUAUAUAUCACAUAUAUUUCAUACUGUUCAGAUUUAAGUUGUGGUUUCGUGUGUGUGUGCUGGCACGCACAGUGGGCAUGUUGUCAAACAUCUGUGCGGAUGACAAGAAUGUUUGCAUUGAGAUGCCCACCCACCCACAGAACGAUUCCAGCUCUGAUUCCGUCCGACCCACUCUAUAAACAAUCUAAUCUGCGUGUCCAUUGUGCUCAUAUGCUAAGUGAAUACAAAUUGCUCGUAAUUACGGAACGGCAGCUAGUUCGUUUGGGUCUGCGUUGUGUUACUGCGCCACAUAAAAAUAGAAAUAAUAAAAUUUAAUCGUACAUCAAAUUGUGCGGCAAAUGAAUUUGCACUGUUCUGUACAGAAAUCAAAUUUAAAUUGCGGGGGAAAUGCUUUAUGAAUGGGUUAUUUGCCCUACCCCUUUCCAAAACCCCCCUCAUUGUGUGCGUAAAAAGUUGAGCGUUGAGUGUUCUCUUGUGGUCAGUCGAAAUUGGAUGUGUGAAUUGCUAAUGGAAAUUACUUUGGCCAAAUGACAGCUAACAAUGGGCGGCUGAUAACUAAAGCCCUAAUCGAGCCACCUUUUGAUUAGCUGCAGUCCAAUCAAGGCGGCUUAUCUGUUCGCGGGAAUGGAGUGGAUUUCAAAUUAGUUCGGUUGCCGCCGGCGAGUGCCCACUGUGACCUGCUUGAAAUGGCACUCGAGUGUCGACCACUUAAUAACGAAUUUCUGGCUGCCCGAACCAGCAGUAAAGAUGCAUCCGAGCUCGGAUUGUGUUCCCAACGGAAGUGCACUUUAACAAAAUGUUGGCGAAAUGUUGGCAAGAGCGGGAAAGCGUAAUGGGAAAAGGAAAAGCGAAAUGCGAAAAGGUCAGCAAGAGAAGGGAAAUACAAUUUGAAAAGCGACGACCUCCGGCUGUGAUGUCGUGUCGAGUUACGCAGUUCUGAGAAGGGCUUCCCUGCUGCAUUUUCCACUAACGGGUCAUUACUUUUACUUGUUGUUUUGUUUUUUUUUCGCGUGCCAUAACUGUUGCAGAUCUCUUCGACGGCUGCAAUGUAAAUCGUUGCGUAUACUCAAUUAAUUGAGACAAAUUACCCAUACGCCGGGUGGGUGAAUGACUGGCGAGAGUUCAAUUCAGUUUGAAUUGAAGAGCUCUUCUUUUGCUUUUUUUUUGUCCGAUGCAUUUGUCUGGUUACCAACCGAAUAAAAAUGGAAAUUUUACCAUAAUAAAACUUUAAUUUGGCCCCAUCGAUCCAAUGGCAAUUAUUAUUAGAUUUCGUUUUGUUUGCUUCUGAUUUCUGCUCCCAUUCGGGAGCACCUUGAACCACAUUAUUCGCGAAUUUGCCCCCACAGUGAAUCUGCCGCUGGUGGAGGCAGUUCCCAAACUGUCAUGGAUUUCAAUCAAACAAUCAAACGUGGCUCGUGCUAAGAUAUAUGCCCGUGUCUGCCGUCUGAACUGGAGGCAAUAAUGCGAAUCCGAGUCACCGACUUGGGCACGCCAUCAUCCUCCCCCCGAAAUUCCCACUGCCUCGGAGUUUGUUUCGGUCUUGACUCCGUUCAGGUUCUGUUCGGUAAGUAUUAUAUAUACUCGUAUUUUUGUGCACGCCACUUUAUGUAAGCAUUAAAACUAGCGCCUGUCGAGCACACAAGAUACACAGAAACAAUCUGAUAUUCACAUCUUCUUAAGAUGUGUAUAAUUUAAGAUAGAUUUAAGCUUACAUUUGUUUUACUGUUUGGCAUUAUCGGGACUUUGACAAGAUUUAAGUUGAAUAACGAAAUAGAUAUGCUUCUUCUUGUUUCUUGUUUUAUUUCUUUUAUUUAUUUAUUUAAUAUCUAUAAUAUUUAAAAUAAUAGUAUCGGAAAUUAUAUCUUAACAAAUUUUCUUUCUGUGUACAAGCGCCAGCUAGACAAUCGCAAAGAUACAAAUACAGAUGCAUGGUGUAGAUACAUUUGUAUCUACACUCUGCCAUGUCGUGUGGUUAUUUUUUUUUUGUGUGUGCAACUUUUGGCUUUGUUGUUUUUUAAUGCAGCUGUAGUUGCUGUUGUUGUUGUUGCCGGUGCAAUUUGCGAAUAUUUGUUACAAGGUCAGUUUGCCAAACGAAAAGUGCGAACAAAAAAUGCAAAUAAUAUAUAUUUUCUUUCAUCUAUAAGCGUAGGAAAGCCGAGCCAAGUUAAUCCGGAUUCAACGGUUUCCAUGUAGAACUGCCUCAUAAUUUAAUAUAAUCGCCUGCGGAUAUCUGCGUUUCUCGCACAUCUCGGGCACUUUGCAUGUUUCUUUGCCACUGUGGCUGCCUUUGAUGCUCUGACUGUGAUGUGAUGUGGCCAACAGCUGCAACCAUUUUGGCCAGGCGUCCCACUUCCCAGCCGGCGAAGAGCAACAAUGAGACGAAAAUUUACAAAUUGAAUUUGCUGUCAGCUGCCAGGAUGGAUGGUUGACGCAAAUGACUUCUUGUCCCUCCCACUCCCACAUCCGUGGGGGAAUUAAUUUUUGUGGCCGAAUUCGGUUUGCUUUUGGGACCCCGUGCGCUAAGUGCACCAUCCUCCGGCUCGAUCUCUCACAUUAGAUGCAAGUGUAGGAAGGGGCCUGCGGAUAGCGGCCAUUUCCGCCCACCUCUUAGCUGCGCUUUGGCGACGACUAAUUUCACCGAUAAUUGCCUGACCAGACCAAAGAGAUGCAAAUGUAUCUGCCGCUCACAGCUGUUGCUGCCUGUGAUGCGAUGACAUAAUCGAGUGCAUCGAGUGUGCACCUAUUUGCAAUUCUUUCGGCCAAAGGCAGGCGUUGAUAGAACAUGGAAAAAGUAAAGAAAAUGAACGAACGGAACCGGUUUUAACCGCACAUUUUGCUUAGAAUUAUUCAUCUGUGUAAAAGUUCGUAUAUUAAGCUACAUAUUUUAUGUAAAGUAAAAAUAAAAUGUAAUAUAAUCAUAGUCAUAUUCUGUGCUUAUAUAAAACUAGCAAACUAGCACCAAUUGUACUAAGAGCAAAAGAGAGAUAGUUUUGUCAUAAGCUCAAAAAAAUCAAAUGGCUUAUAUUGCCAGAAGAUUACAAACAAAAUGAAAUGGAUUGUAUUAAGGUACAGAAAAAUAUAGAACAGAAAAAUAAAGAACA